rnacentral:sRNA from 26 species
UUUUAGCCCUGAUGGAAGCGAAAAUCCUGUUUCGUUUUUUGGAACGAAACAGAUUGUAGCGACAGCAGGAAAAUGG